GACGAACGCUGGCGGCGUGCUUAACACAUGCAAGUCGAACGAAGUGGCGAACGGGUGAGUAACGCGUAAUCAACCUGCCCUUCAGAGGGGGACAACAGUUGGAAACGACUGCUAAUACCGCAUACUGAAGGCCGGGACUGCGUCUGAUUAGCUGGUUGGGGGGGUAACGGCCCCCCAAGGCGAGGAGCAGUAACCGGUCUGAGGGGAUGAACGGCCACAUUGGGACGGGAACACGGCCCAGACUCCGACGGGGGGCAGCCGUGGGGAAUCUUCCGCAAUGGACGAAAGUCUGGCGGCGCAACGCCGGGGUGUUGAUGACGGCCUUCGGGUUGUAAGGCUCUGUUAAUCGGGACGCGGUACCGGAAUAGAAAGCCACGGCUAACUACGUGCCAGCAGCCGCGGUAAUAC
rnacentral:rRNA from 1 species